rnacentral:rRNA from 1 species
UGGGAAAAGCCCAGCGCUGAAUCUUUCGAUGUUACAUCGUAAAGAAAUGUAGCGUAUAGGUGUAGUUAUCGGUUUGUUUGGCGUAUCAAAGUUCCUUUGAUAGGGGCCAUAUUCCAGAGAGGGUGCGAGACCUGUGCGGAUAGCGGAACAUGCCGUAUGAUUAUACCUUGGAGUCGGGUUGCUUGAAAGUGCAGCCUUAAGUGGGUGAUAAACUUCAUCUAAGGCUAAAUACGGACGCGAAUUCGAUAGCAAACAAGUACUGUGAAGGAAAGUUGCAAAGAACUUUGAAGAGAGAGUUCAAGAGAACGUGAAAUCGUUGAAGUGGAACCGGAGAGAGUUGACGUAGUAUGGUGGAUAAGUAUUGCAAGAAUCGCUUCAAAAAAUGUGAACGUGAUCGAGCAGUAUGUAUGUCACCAAUGACUGCGCUGACAGCAUCGACUACACGCUCUGAACCGUGUUGACCUGUUGCCUACUCUAGUAUAUAGAGUGGUGUCUUGUGUUACGUGGUGAAGUUUGUUGUUAUGUUGAUGUUGAUACGAGGAGCAUAAUUAUACGACGAGUAUUAAUUAUGUGUGUCAGUGUAAAAGUCGACCACCUCUCCGACCCGUCUUGAAACACGGACCGAGGAGUGUAACUUGUACGCGAGUCAAUGGGUGAAAAACCUUAAGGCGAAAUGAAAGUGAAGGCACGGUUAACCGGCUGACAUGGGAAACGUCCGGCGGCUUGUGUUGACGAGACGUUACACCAUGGCCCUGUCUUGUCUGCAUGCAGAUGGGCAGCGGUAGAGCGUACAGGUUGCGACCCGAAAGAUGGUGAACUAUGCCUGAGCAGGACGAAGCCAGAGGAAACUCUGGUGGAAGUCCGUAUCGGUUCUGACGUGCAAAUCGAUCGAUAGACUUGGG